rnacentral:rRNA from 1 species
GACGAACGCUGGCGGCGUGCCUAAUACAUGCAAGUCGAGCGAACAGACGAGGCGCUUGCUCCUCGGACGUUAGCGGCGGACGGGUGAGUAACAUGUGUAUAACCUACUUAUAAGACUGGGAUAACUUCGGGAAAGCGGAUCUAAUACCGUAUAAUAUAUUGAACCGCAUGGUGCAAUAGUGAAAGUCGGUUUUUGUGUCUCUACUAGAGGGAUCCCCGCCGCUUUAGCUAGUUGUGAAGUUAACGGGUUAUCAAGGCAACCAUGCGUGGCCGACGUCACAGGGGGGUCGCCGACCCUGGAACUGAGACACGGUCCAGACUCCUACGGGAGGGAGCAGUAUGGAAUCUUCCGCAAUAGGCGAAAGCCUUGCGGAGCAACGCCGCGUGAGAGAUGGAGGCCUUCGGAUCGUAAAGCUCUGUUAUUGGGGAAAAACAAAUGUGUAAGUAACUGUGCACGUCUUGACGGUACCUAAUCAGAAAGCCCCGGCUAACUACGUG